rnacentral:rRNA from 1 species
CCUACGGGAGGCUGCAGUGAGGAAUAUUGGUCAAUGGCCGGAAGGCUGAACCAGCCAAGCCGCGUGAGUGAGGAAGGCGCAGAUCGUCGCAGACCUCUUCUGCCGGGGGACAAAAGGCAGGACUCGUACGUUCCUGCGGGUACCCGGCGCAAAAGCAUCGGCUAACUCCGUGCCAGAAGCCGCGGUACACGGAGGCAUGCGAUCGUUACCCGGAUUCAUUGGGGUUAAUGGGUGCGAGGUCGGGCCUUUAAGCCGGGGUGGAAGUCGCGGCCCUAAACCCCGCCGAGCCGGCGGAACUGGAGGCCUUGAGUGCGGCAGAGGGAGGCGGAAUGCGAGGGGUAGCGGUGAAAUGCAUAGAUAGCGCGCAGAACACCGAUUGCGAAGGCAGCG